rnacentral:hammerhead_ribozyme from 1 species
ACCAGAUGACGAGCUCCAAAUAGGACGAAAUGUGCAUCCUGGAU